GCUGAGAUUAGCCUGAUCCAUCAAACCCAAUCUUAAACCUCCUGAGGAUGUGAAGAAUGAUGUUUCCUGGCAGACACUGGCACCAGUGAGGAUGUGGCAAAGUUCCUGUCAAAGGAACCAACAAAUGAUAGAACUGAUAACUGAUCUAAAGCUGAUGAGCUGACAGACGAGUCCCUGACCAGUCUGGGGAACCAUAUGACUGACAGGCAAGCAGUUUAUAGAAUGGGGUGUCUCACUUUUUAAGGGCAGGGCCUUCUAAAACACCCGCUUCUAGGUGUUUUAUGUGGAGAUUCCUCCCAAGUGGGGACAAUCCUCAAGGUUACUUCUUUAGGCUGAAUGAAAGACAUUUACCCAUGGUGAUUGAUAAGGAUGAAUAACUUCAAUUUCUAAUAAUUAUUUCACCAAUUGUCUAACUCUUGCUUUAAAAAAUAGAUAUAACUGCUAAUAUAGAGCACAGUCCAUACUACAUAGUAAAUAAUUCUGAUCAGUCUCUUAGUCUUUAUCACAAACAAAAUAAAUCAUACAUUUUAUAUGCAUAUUUGUGUUUCCAUACUUAACCUUAAAGAAUAAUGUUGUAUAAAGGUUCAAUUACAUCUAUACAAUCCUCUAGACAAACUGGUGACCAAGCCUGGGGCUAAUGUUGGAUCCAGCACUAUUCUGAGGAGUUUAGAAAGCAAGGCUGUACCUUAUGGCUCAACAGUGGGUCUUUUCUAAGAAACUCGGUCUGAAGCUUCCAUUCCAACCACAACAGGAGCUCUGACGCGUUUCAUGAGGACACAUUUUGUUUUCAGUAUGCCUUCCAUAGGGACAGUAACCAAAACAAAACCAUUUCCCAGUGUGUGGGAGAACAGAAAUACACAAUUAAGAGGAACACAUCACCCCAAGAAUGCUUUCGACUGUUUCCCCAAGUCAUCGUUAGCCUUGGGAAAAUGACAAUGCCACAGAAAAAAAAAAACCACUUAUUUAAAAUGCUGGCAUUUAAAGACCAAAAUUAAAGGAAGAAAAUUUAUUUUAUUGAAUUAAAAAGACUAGUAUUUUUUCAGCAAUGUGUAAAUGUCAUUUAGUGUAUGCAGAAGAUUAUUUUGGUGAGAAAAUCUGUUUCUGGAAACCUCUAGUUUAAUCUACUAAAACUAUGCUAAAAAUAGAAUAAGAGCAAUAUAUUUUUGUUAAAAUAUAGCUCUGAAAGAAUAUAGAUUAAGUCUUGUUAUUGUAAGGCACAGUAGGAUUCAGCUCCUCAGCCACGCAGAGUACAGCUGCUGAUCUGGGGGCAGAGACUUUAAAUCCAGUGGACACUGAUGAUGUUAUAGUGAGUAAACCAAAUUUAAUCUUUUCUUUCUCAGUUCUGUGGUUUUGAGAGGCCCAGUAAUGACAUGCAACUUGUGAAAGAGAAUAAGUUUUGGCUUCUGGUCCUGUGGGACUUUGGGACUUGUUACAGGCCCACAUCUUCUAAAUGGAUUUAUUACCUUUAGUGCUGAGGGUACCUUCUUCUCUGUACCCUAACAAGCAGAUCUUUGGUACCAGGCUUUGUUAGAGCAUCAGUGCUGCCUUUGCUAGGUAAAAUGCCUUCCAGCAUCAUUACCUAUAUAUAUAAUACAGCUCAGAUCCCCCAGAGACGUUUGGGACAGGUGGUAUGUAAGGGUUGCCUGCGGUGACCUACUGAAGAAUCUAGUUUUAAGCUUCAGAGAACAUUUUUUUAUUUCCAAUAUGGGAAGUCAGCAUAGAUUCAGCUGAACUUGUCCUGUAGGUGAUUUUGCCAGAAGGAAACACAAAAGGCAAGCUAUGUGAGGCAGUAGUUCAGCACCUGGCACCAGUUUUCAUCAGAGGAUUAUUUUGUAGGAUAUGCAAGGCCUAGGGGAGAGGUUUUUAAAGGAACUUGCACCCAGCAGCUCCAGCUGAGGCACUCAGAGCCAGUACCCACCACUGUGCUGAAGCUGCAUUCAGACUCAAUCUUGAUGCUGAGAGGAGUCCAGUACCCUGAGCCUUGAAUUUCCAGGGGUUUGAGAGCACUCUGAAUUAACGUCAAGCUUACUGACAGUUCUUCUUCCUUCUCCUGCCUCUCUCCUGUUUUAUUACAAGUAAUCCCAUCCUGGGAAUCCUAAAUCAUGUUACAUGAUUUUCUCUGUCCUUUUAUCAGUUUCUCUCCGUGGGAAUAGCUGGCAAGUGCCAAAUUUAUUCUGUACAAAUUGUUUUAAGGGAAGACCGAUGUUUUUCAAUUUUUCCUUAAAUUGAACAUUGUAUCUUGCUGGUGAAGACUGCCUGUCAGAGGCUUUUGACUUGCCACGCUCCUACCCUGUGUGGAGAAUUAGAUUGAUGCUCUGUAUUACUGAAUAGAUGUUGUGACCAGCUGGGAACACAGCUCACACCCACUUAGUGCAUUUUUUCAUUUUUAAUCUCUCUUCUCAUACCCUUUUACAAACUGCAGCCCAGUUACUCCAGGGGGCAGGCAAAGGGCUGACCCUCUCACUCUCUUCAUCAAUCACCAUCAAUAUUGUUGUUUGCACAAAAUAUGGCACAAAAGACAGGGUGUAGCCACAAGGGG
rnacentral:lncRNA from 1 species